AGAGUUUGAUCMUGGCUCAGAUUGAACGCUGGCGGCAUGCUUUACACAUGCAAGUCGAACGGCAGCGCGGGGCAACCUGGCGGCGAGUGGCGAACGGGUGAGUAAUAUAUCGGAACGUACCCAAGAGUGGGGGAUAACGUAGCGAAAGUUACGCUAAUACCGCAUACGAUCUAWGGAUGAAAGCAGGGGACCGCAAGGCCUUGUGCUCCUGGAGCGGCCGAUAUCUGAUUAGCUAGUUGGUGAGGUAAAGGCUCACCAAGGCGACGAUCAGUAGCUGGUCUGAGAGGACGACCAGCCACACUGGAACUGAGACACGGUCCAGACUCCUACGGGAGGCAGCAGUGGGGAAUUUUGGACAAUGGGCGCAAGCCUGAUCCAGCAAUGCCGCGUGAGUGAAGAAGGCCUUCGGGUUGUAAAGCUCUUUUGUCAGGGAAGAAACGGUGGGGGCUAAUAUCCUCCACUAAUGACGGUACCUGAAGAAUAAGCACCGGCUAACUACGUGCCAGCAGCCGCGGUAAUA
rnacentral:rRNA from 1 species